rnacentral:lncRNA from 1 species
UUGUGUUGACCUUGGAUCCAAAUUGAGAUUUUAUUGCUUAAUCAAUCUAAAAUCCCCUUAGAUAAAUCAAAAGUUCUGAAAAACACAUACUCUAAUCAUGAAUCUCAGAUUAUUGGAUUAAGAACCAAGUGUUUUGGAUUUCUUCAUCCAUUUUUGAUCAAAUCUUCAAAGGUAAUUUCCGAGAACCUUAAUCCUAUUCCUAUAUUUUUUUUCUUUCUUUUUUUGGUGUUUUGAACACCUCUUUUGGGUCUGAUUGAGAGAGAAACUGAGAAUCGACCGUAAAGGGACUCUGUGCCGCUGUGGCGCAUUGCCUCAGCCAGUGGUGUGUGCCACAGGCCUGUGGCUCGUGCCACAUGAGCCCAAAUGUCUUGUUUUUGCCCUGUUCAUUCCAGGAUCCUUCCUAAUCCAGGAAAGGCCCUGCGCCACUACAUGUGUCGAGUGCUAUAAGCUUGUGGCGCAUGCCAUAACUCCCUGUGACGUAAGACCCUUUAAUUCAGAGGCUUUGAAUGUAUAAAAACUGAAUAAAUGUCUCGAUUCGGAGAUCGAGUGGCCAAGCUCCAACCUUAAAUGGUCUGAUGCAUUUUAAGCCAAAUAUGGAUUAAAUAAACAAUAAGAACUAGGUUGAGAGCCGUGAUUGGUGAAUUUGUUCAUCAUACUUGAUGAACAUCAAAACCAUGAGCUUAAAUCUUGGUUAACCAUUUAAUUUCUUGUCUUUUAAUUAAUGUUCUUUACAUUACAAGCGCUUUAUUAUUCUGCCAUUUAAUUUUAUACUCUUUAAUUUAAUGUCUUUAUAAUUAUUAUUAUGCUCACCCCUUUACUAAUUAAAUAUUGUACCUCUAAUAUGCAUCAUAUCUUCAUUUUCUGAAUAUUUGAGUGCUGGUGGUUGGGCAUCUAUGUUCUAUUAUUCUGUAAAUAUUAUUUGUCUUUAUGUAAAUGUUGUUUGUUUGGAUCUUUCAUUUCUUAUUAUGUUUUAAUGUUCAUUAUUGCAAAAUGUAAUGAGAUCUUACUAGAUCUCAAUUAAAGCUUUUAUAUAAUAAUUAAUUGGGUUUGAGAAAUUCGGAGGGGUGAGAAUAGAUUGUACAUUAGGAAGGAUUGUACUCUUUUCUCGUCCCCUUUUCUUUG